GAAUUUAUUUGGCUCUAGUAAGAAGCUAGUGGUCCCUAUAAUUAACACAUAAUAUUCGAGGAGUUGUGAGAGUUUGUGAUUAUUUUGUUUUAAGAUUAAAGAUUUUAGAAACUUUAUAUAUCAAAUUACUAUAAAGAAUUUAGAAAAGUAAAUUUAGUUUCUCAACUUUAGUGAAGAAGUUUAAACAAUUAUAGAAAUAUAGAUUUAAUAAAGGGAAGAAGAGAAGGAAAUAAAGUGCCAGCACCUGCGGUUAAACUUUUUCUUUGAGCUAGUUAAUUCGUAAAGAGAGUGAUGGUUUAAGUUUAAGGUGUUAUUGUUUGCAGUUUUGGUGUAAUAAGAUGGAACAAUUAAUUUUAGUCCUUUUAAGCCUUAUUCUUAUAAGUCUGUUUUAUAGACCAGGAUUAGAGACCCUGUUAUUUAUGAUAUACUAAAAAUUACGGGGACUAUGAGCCUGAAUUGCUUAAAACUCAAAGAGCUUGGCGGUGUCCUAUCUCUUAUUAGGGGAAUCUGGCGGUUAAACCGAUAAUCCUCGUAAUAUCUUACCUCUAAUUUUCCUUAUAUACCGCCGUUGUCAGCUAGCCUUAAAGAGAUGAAUAGCACGCAGAAAUAAAUCUAUUAGUAAGGUUUAAUAAAUUCAGGUAGACGUGUAGGUGUGAUGUAGAGGUCUUUGCUGGAUUACAAUUGCAUAGCAAAACGAAUGUCUAAAUGAAAUUUUAGGUUGAAGGUGUACUUAAAAGUAAUAUACUAUAAUUGAGGGUAUUUGAAUCGUGUUACUAGGGCGUGUACAAAUUGCCCGGCGCCCCCGCAUAUUAAUAAAUUGGGGUAAGUCGUAACAUAGUAACGCUACCAUAAGGUGGUGUUA
rnacentral:ncRNA from 1 species